rnacentral:lncRNA from 1 species
CUUGUCAAGAACAUUUGGAUUUGCACCAGCUUCCAACAAGCACUUGAUAGCUUCAGUUAAGCCCUUCUGCAGCCGUUACCAACGGAUUAUAACAAGGACCAGCACCACUCACAUUAGCUCCACCCUAUGAGAUGCAAGUAUGAAAAGCCAAUCAUUUGUUUAGUUGUUAAUACAAAAAUGACUAAAUCAAACAUCAGUUUAUAGAAAUCUAGAUUCCUAUUGCAGUACAAAAAGAGGAUACAAUACCUGAAUCAAUAGCUACAGAUACUGGAUCCUCUCUUGUUUGGUAUUCCCUCACAGCCUUACUGAACUUUCAUCAAACACCUUGUAGGCAUAGAUAAAAAAGAAUUUGCACAUGUAAAUAAAUGAGCUGAAGAGAAAGGGCAGGAGGCAAGGGGAAAAGCCAGGUGUGGCAUCUUCUACUUUUCCAUGGCCGCCUGCACCUCGGGGUCGGCAGCUGCCCUCUGACAGAGAGAGGGAGAGAUGUAGAGGGAUAGAGAGAGGCACUCACCAACGCGCGGAGCUUGGCAGCCAAAACGGAAGGGAAGCCGGCCCCAAUGACCUCCUCCGCCUUCUAUGCUAGUCACCACCAGUCGCUCCCGCGCGAGAUGCAGGAGAGCGCACACGAGGCAGCCGCAGCUCGGCCUCUCCAUCUUCUCCGGUCGCUGCAAACCAUGGUGGAAGGUGGGCGGACGAGCUCCUCUCCAUCUUCUCGACCCGCUGCAGGGAGAGAAGGGAACGGGCAGCUGUAGAUGGAGCAACACCGGUCGCCUCCGGGUGCGGCGGCUCUGGCGAGAUGGGAAGAGUGGAGGGAGGCGGCAGCUGCGCUGGGAGUAGAGAGCGCCGAGCGGGGAAGGAGGGACGCGGGGGACCGCUCCGACCCGGACGCCCUCCAUGGCGUCGCCGCCGAGGCGCGCGGAUGGAGGAGGAGAAGAGGACGCGGCGCGCGGAUGGAGGAGGUGGCGCGGAUGGAGGAGGAGGCGAGGACGCGGCUAGGGUUCAUGGGGAAGACGCAGUCUGCGCGGUCUCGCUCCUGCCCGCGCUGCCUGCCUUUUUGGUCCACUGAAAAGAGUAAAAUGCCCUUGGCCCGUUGAAAAGACUAAAAUGCCCUUGAUGGGAUGCAGAAUUUACAAGCGGUGGCAUAGCGAUUAUAUGGGGCGACGUGGAGGGCGCGGUCGUGACUACGAGUCUAGAAGGGUUUAUAUGUUCAAUCACUUGUUUAUUGCGACAUGGACCACUGAUAUCUGAAAUAUAUGAAAAAGAACAUCAACGCCCAAGAAAAAAUAUGCCCUCGUAAAAGUAAAAGAAUGUACCAGUAAAAGAAAUGCUCCAGUAGAAGUCCUCUGUUACUUUUAGUGUCAGUACCUCCAACUAACAGAAUUACAAUAGACGGUAACCCAAAAAUAUGUCCAUCUCCUGAACUUCUUUGUUGAACUGUGGGACUAACACAAUGUACACUCUCAAGGAAACGAAAACUUCCCAAACUGAAGAGACUGGACCAAAAAAACCGUAAAGACCGAAUGCCCGGGCUUAUCCUCGCGUUCUAUAUAGUAUUUAUGUUUAAUAACCAAUUCAACAUCAUCCAAGUAAAUUGCUAGCAUCCAGGUAAGAAAUUGCUCUGAAGCAAUGAAAAAACUAACCAAUUCAGCAUCAUCAAUGAAAGAAUCUUCAGUGGCAUACUGAUUAUCAUCAGGCACAUCACCCAGAUCUUCUUCGUGACUACUAUGCCUGCCCUAUCAAAGUGCAGUAUGAGGACAUGGGGCAAAGACGUUAUGCACAUGGUGUAUAAUGUUAAAAGUGCAUCUUGAGAUAACAACAUGUGCAUUACCAUGUAAAGGCGCUCGAUUAUCUCAAUAACCACAUUGAACCAAUUUGACUGUGAUGGAUCAUUUGGGUCAUUUUCUGUUGGAUGUACCUGACUCCAAAAAGAUGAGACAACAUCAAUAUCAAAUAUAACAAUAAUCCAACUGUUCUGCAACAACAAAAAACUAAUUAAUCUAUCUAUCACAUGUGAAAACAAACACAAGAUAGACUGAUUAAUCCAAAGAACCGGUAAGUGCAGCAGCUGGCAAUGUGAACAUCAAGGAUGAUAGAUAAUACAUUAAUAUUUUCCAUAUACUGUGAACUACCAACAGGGAAUUUUAAUUAGAAAACGGCUUGUGUCUUGUAUAGUGCAAAGUAUGUAAUUUCAUUUUACAGUAGCCACCUCAUCAGUUACCAUGAACAGUUUUCUUGAAUUUUCCUCAGGUUUUUGCUGCACUUUUGGUGGAAGCGUGUAUAUGUUUUGAGGCCCUGGAGAAGAAGCUAAGCAGACAUAAUCCUAUCUCAAUGCAAAGGGUUCCACUGUCCACGACAACACCUGAUGUAUGCCUUAUUAUCUCUAUUUUACAUCUCUUAACUUUUGUUGUCUGUACUAAAUUUCUCUGUUGCAAACUACUUUUACGCUCGCUCUACAUAGACUAACAUUACUCCUCACGUGGCUACAACAGGAUUGAUCAGCCCACAAAUGCACUAACAGUUGUAUCUAGCUAGUCCCCAACAUAUUAUGCACAUAAUAGAAUCCCAAUUUCUCCAUCCCUCCCACUUGAAAUCCCUUGGUUUGCAUGCUUGAUCGGCGCCCAUAGUGGUCAUGCUAAAUUUUGAAUGAUAAAUUCAAGUGGACCAUUCCCAUAGUUCUAACAUACAAACCUACUUGAUCAAUCACCCCAGCUUCAAGAGCAAUGUAUCUUAACCAGCCUAUCAUAUGAGAAUCCAGAGGGCUGAUGUUUGGAACAAUGGUUCUUCUGAAGGUAUCCCAAAAUAAUGAGACAAGGAUGUAAAUCACAAUCAUAAGAGUUACCUCCUAUAACUCGGUGGAGGAUUGAAUGAUGAAAAAACUAUGCUGGCCACACACUUGAUUUCUGCUAGUGCAGAUGCCAGCAAAUUAGUAAGAGCUACAGUAGUAUCCUCCAUGAAAUUCAAACCAUCAAGCUCCUGGUGAGCAGUUUUUCCUGCAUCUACAGGGGAAAGCAAAUAAGAUCUACAUCAACCACGGGUUGAAUUAAGACUUGCGCACAAAUCUAGUACUACUACUUGGUAAGACCUACCGCAACACCAGAGGGCCCCGCGAGGGGGGCGACGAUGGGCUGUAUCGCCGGGGCGUGCAAAGAGGGCGGUUCCCGGGUCUGCCUCCUUGACCAGCUUCUUCCAGGACACAAUGAUCGUCUCCCCGGGCCAAUUUGUUUAGUACUGAACUAAAAAUGGCUUGGCCGUCCAAUUUAUAAAAAAAAUCAGAAAUGAGAAUACAUAAAUCUUUAGACAAUGCUAAUAAUGUAACUUGUCACAGACACAAAAUUUGCUACUAUUUUUCAGUGUUGAAUUAUACUAAAUACAAUAUAAGGCAUUCAGAAAAAUCCUCACCUUAAAUAAGGCAUUACAACAAACUUGUUGGGAAAACCUGCACACAACUACCAGAUAAUUAAAAAUAAGGCAUUAAUUCGUCUUAGCACAAGGAAUUACGUCCUAGGAAAAAGAACAAAAUUACUGACUAAUGUCACAUUGCUUGAUUGGAGUAUUACCUGGAAAUGAAAACAAGCUAGGCAGAUCAUUGAUGCACUAUAUGAAUUACAAACAAGCACUGCAAAAAUAUACAUCCAGUAUAGAACAGAGGUCACUUAAUAUAUAUGCAAAAUAAAAACAUUGCCAUACACAAAAAUAAAUCCAAACAAUGAUAGAAUAAAUCAAGAGGUUCAUCCUGUUGUUCCCAUCAACACAACAAAAAUAUGCAUUUAGUAUAGAACGGAUGCCAAAAUAAAGAGUUGGGACAUACAUUUCCAUUGAAGUUCUUCGUUUCAGUUCAGGACAGUACCAUUCAAUCCAUACGCCCAUCCCUACAAAACUGUAUCAAUAAGACAAAUUCAACCAAAAUAUUUCAAUGGCUAAUCGAGUGUUCGAUAACUGUAGACUGCGGAUACAAAUGAAAUGCGGAAAUGAUGAACAUCUUCUUAGUGCGGAAAUCCAAAUCUAAGCUGAAAUAUGGCAUUUCUUAUGUUUAAAGUGACAAUAACAUGAGAGAUAGUCCGCUGCCGCCGCAAGCAGAGUAGGUGCGUCGCACCUACUGGUAGCAAAACGGUGCGGCUGCGUGUGUUCUCCAUGAGUAAAACUUCCAUGCAUACAUAGCAUCAUGUAGGUGUACUUACAUAACUCGUAUAGUUGUUGCACAUCACUACAAAGCCAAGCAAGACACAAGAAUAUGUGACAAAAUGAGCAUUCUGACCUUGUCAAGAACAUUUGGAUUUGCACCAGCUUCCAACAAGCACUUGAUAGCUUCAGUUAAGCCCUUCUACAGCCGUUACCAACGGAUUAUAACAAGGACCAGCACCACUCACAUUAGCUCCACCCUAUGAGAUGCAAGUAUGAAAAGCCAAUCAUUUGUUUAGUUGUUAAUACAAAAAUGACUAAAUCAAACAUCAGUUUAUAGAAAUCUAGAUUCCUAUUGCAGUACAAAAAGAGGAUACAAUACCUGAAUCAAUAGCUACAGAUACUGGAUCCUCUCUUGUUUGGUAUUCCCUCACAGCCUUACUGAACUUUCAUCAAACACCUUGCAGGCAUAGAUAAAAAAGAAUUUGCACAUGUAAAUAAAUGAGCUGAAGAGAAAGGGCAGGAGGCAAGGGGAAAAGCCAGGUGUGGC